GCCUUUGACUUGUCAGUUGAAAUGCACCUGAUCUCACAGAUCUCUGAAACUAAGCAGAAUCAAGCCCAGUUAGUACUGUGAUGAGAGAGCUCCAUGAAGGGCCGGGUGUUUGAGGCU
rnacentral:rRNA from 1 species